rnacentral:lncRNA from 1 species
AUACAUGUAGGAAAAGCUAAGAAUUUGAAAAAGGAUCCGUCCUCUAAGUUAGGUAACCCUCACCCGGUUAUUUAACCCAACGGUAGAUAAACUUCUGAAACUUAUGCUUAUAUGUCUAUACUAAAUAGCAAAAAUUAUUGAAUGUUGACACAAAUUUGGAUCAUGGUCACCAACAGGUUCAUUCACCAUGUGAGUAUAAGAUAAC